rnacentral:misc_RNA from 1 species
GGAAGUAAAAGUCGCAACAAGGUAUCCGUAGGUGAACCUGCGGAAGGAUCAUUAUUGUAUAACCGAGGUGCGAGGGCUGUCGCUGACCCGAAAGGUCGUGCACGCCAGAGUGCCCUCACACACAUCCAUCUCACCCCUAUGUGCACCACCGCGUGGGUCCCCCUUUGGCUUGUUCGGAGGGGGGCUUACGUUUUCACACAAACUUUGUAUGCAGUGUAGAAUGUAUUUUUUGUUUUUGCGAUCACGCAAUCAAUACAACUUUCAACAACGGAUCUCUUGGCUCUC